CGCGCGAGCUCGACGGCGCGUGCUGCGCCGCGCGCGCGCGCGCGGCGCAGCACGCGCCGUCGAGCUCGCGCG
rnacentral:misc_RNA from 1 species